UCGGGAAUAUUGCGCAAUGGAGGAAACUCUGACGCAGUGACGCCGCGUAUAGGAAGAAGGUCUUCGGAUUGUAAACUAUUGUCGUUAGGGAAGAAAAAGGACAGUACCUAAGGAGGAAGCUCCGGCUAACUACGUGCC
rnacentral:rRNA from 1 species